UGGUCUUGACAUCCCGGGAAUUUUCUGGAAACAGAAAAGUGCUUCUUUAUAGAAGAGCCCGAGACAGGUGCUGCAUGGCUGUCGUCAGCUCGUGUCGUGAGAUAUUGGGUUAAGUCCCGUAACGAGCGCAACCCACGCCUUUAGUGGCCAUCAUUCACUGGGGCACUCUAGAGGGACAGCCCCGGUUAACGGGGAGGAAGGUGUGGAUGACGUCAAGUCCUCAUGGCCCUUAUGGCCAGGGCUACACACGUACUACAAUGGGCGGUACAAAGGGCAGCUACAUCGCGAGGUGGAGCCAAUCCCCCAAAACCGUUCUCAGUCCGGAUCGGAGUCUGCAACUCGACUCCGUGAAGUUGGAAUCGCUAGUAAUCGUGGAUCAGCAAGCCACGGUGAAUACGUUCCCGGGCCUUGUACACACCGCCCGUCUCA
rnacentral:rRNA from 1 species